CCAUCAGCAGGUGUAAAGGUUAGUAUUGUCCCAGCAAUGUUCCUCUAUGAUGGCACAAACCAAGAAGGAAGGAUACCUGCAGCUGCCCUCCAGCCCAGAAUUCACCCUCCAGCACAGGGUUUUGAAGAUCAGAAGGGCAUUUUGAAUAUGUGCUUUCUAAAUUGGAUUCUCCAACAUCUUAAAAUCAGUGCAGUGAAGAGGAAGCAUUCCGUGGCCUUCUUAGAGACAAUAGCAGGAAGAACACAGUGAAAGAAGAGCGAUUUAAGGAGGCCAGGGCAGUGCUGAAGGUGAGAGAAAGAGAAAGAAGAGGGCAGGUGCAGCCAGAGCCCCUGGGGAUGCUAGUUCCAGCUUUGCCACAACAAUCUAUUCAACCUGGAACAGAUCAAUCAAGUCCUCUGAGCUUCAGUUUCACCUUUUAUUGAAUUAUGAUAAUAUUACCUGCUCUAUCUGCUACACAGGGUAUUUAAAGAUUCAAA
rnacentral:lncRNA from 1 species